rnacentral:rRNA from 1 species
GACGAACGCUGGCGGCGUGCUUAACACAUGCAAGUCGAGCGGUAAGGCCCUUUCGGGGGUACACGAGCGGCGAACGGGUGAGUAACACGUGGGUGACCUGCCCUCAGCUCUGGGAUAAGCCUGGGAAACUGGGUCUAAUACUGGAUAUGACUCCACGGUGCAUGUCGUGGGGUGGAAAGCCUUGUGCGGCUGAGGAUGGGCCCGCGGCCUAUCAGCUUGUUGGUGGGGUGANGGCCUACCAAGGCGACGACGGGUAGCCGGCCUGAGAGGGCGACCGGCCACACUGGGACUGAGACACGGCCCAGACUCCUACGGGAGGCAGCAGUGGGGAAUCUUGCGCAAUGGGCGAAAGCCCUGACGCAGCGACGCCGCGUGAGGGAUGACGGCCUGGUGUAAG